AGCACAUGAUUUACACUGUGACAUGGAGAUCACAGGACCUCACACCUCCGGCGGUGGAGAGGAUCCGAGGACCCAUUCUCAAGGGCUUAGCGUUGUGCCUGGACCAGAGGAAGCAGUCAAUCCAUAUAAUGAUACUGAGGAAUGGAAAAAGACUUGCCAAAAGUCACCAAAGUAAAUUUCAGAGCUGGAAUUUGAAUUCAAGUUUUCUUGGUUCCAGUUCCUGUGGCAUAUGCGUCUCUGUUGGAAGGAGAAUUGCUACGUGUCCUACAUUCUCCUACUGCCAUCAUCCACCAAGGCGUGGCCGGGUGCAUGCUGACCCUCUGCAUUCAGCAGGCUGGGAAGCAGUAGAGCAUCUUCAGACUGGCGAUUACUGUAAUUAUGCUGAGAAACAGAGGGCUGGCUGAGAUUAGAACUGGGGAUUACAAGGAAAUCGUUGAAGACAACUCACGCUUCUAUCGACUCUAGGAACACUGGGAACGACGUUCUACACAAUAUUGCCCAUGUCCUCUAAGAUCCAUGUGACUGUUUCUCCAGAUUUCAGCAACAGAGAAAGUGCUGAGAAGAAUUGUGUGGGGAAGGCACUUCGACUUGCUCCCAGGAAGCAUCACAAGAUAGAAUUACUCUGUUGAUGGAUUGGCUUCAGAUGCAGCAGAGAAAAAGCAAGUCCUUCAGAAGCACAGGUGCCUGCUCUCUCUUCAGCACAGGCAUGUUGUGCCAACCUAACCCUGGAACUUCGUGUAUGAGGCGUCAUGACUUAGACUUUAAAAAAUAACCACACUUAUGUCAGAUAGAUACCAGAGCUGAAAUUUGGAGCCAGAGAAGUUUAAUUUCCCCAGAAGAGCUAAAAAGAAAAACAAAUAAAAAUUAAAAAAAAACCAUACAACCCCCAGCACAAUACAAACAAGAGAAGCCACAAAUAUCAAGUAGUAGGAAGGAGAAGUGGGUGCUUUUCCUUCAGCUAGCUCCCAGCAAUGAGCCGAACAGUCCUCCACACGAUGGGGACAUCCAGAGAGCUGUCAGUUAGGGGCUCUGCUUGGAAGGUAGGGAAGAGCCUAGACUUUUCCGGCCUCACAUCUGUCUUCAAAACGUGAUUGCAUUGUCGCCUGAAAAUGUUCACCACAUAGGAACCAAGAGGACAUGCGCAACUUGACCACCAUUUGUCAUGAAAUAGUUCAGGAAUCAUCCAUUUGGAAGCAAUGGAAAGCUAAUUUUCUGUCCACCCACCUUAUGGAAGGACGAUCAUGGGAAAAGCAAAAAAAUCAGCAAAUGAGAAAAAUAUCACAUAGAUAGAUGAUAAAUAAAUAGAUAGAUGAUAGAUAGCAACAACAUCUUUAUAUAUGAUUUUUUCAUUCCAAAUAUAUCAACAAGCUAAUGAGGCCUCUGGAAAAUACCAGUUACAUCAUCAUUGCUAACAGGCUCUUAAAAGUACUAUAUUUCAUAUUCUAACCAAAUUUUCCAGUAUUUGUCAAAUAUUACUAGCUAAGCAAUUCAAAAGUUACCCCACCAGGACCUAAGAGGCUAGUUAUAGAUUAUAAAUAGACACCAUUAAAUUAAUAACACAAAUAUAGAGAGAUAACUAAGAACUACACUGAGUGUGUGUCUUUUCAGGAAAAAUAAUUCUAAAGCAUUUAUCUACUGCCUCUGCUUCAUAUGGCACGUUGGACACUGGAAGAGAAGAGCAUUUAGGACCUAGUUUACAAAGUGUUAAUGCCUUUUCUUUUUGAAACAGAAACACCGAGACCAGUGCAAAUCCUGGUAAAAAUGACUGUCAAUUCAUCUUUCAAUGAAUUAAACAUUUAUAGAAUAUCUAAGCUUCCACAAACACCAGCUUCCCAGACACUAAAACUGCUAGUAUUCUGUAACUAUCUUUGAAAAGAAAAAGAGCUGAGUCAACUCUGUGGGGAUUAAAACUAUGGCUCCAAGGAGUCUGAGUAUUUU
rnacentral:lncRNA from 1 species